rnacentral:rRNA from 1 species
GAUGAACGCUAGCGGCAGGCUUAAUACAUGCAAGUCGAGGGGCAGCAUGAGUGUAGCAAUACAUUUGAUGGCGACCGGCAAACGGGUGCGGAACACGUACACAACCUUCCUAUAAGUGGGGAAUAGCCCAGAGAAAUUUGGUUUAAUACCCCGUAACAUAAUGAUGUGGCAUCACAUUAUUAUUAUAGCUUCGGCGCUUAUUGAUGGGUGUGCGGCUGAUUAGAUAGUUGGCGGGGUAACGGCCCACCAAGUCUACGAUCAGUAGCUGAUGUGAGAGCAUGAUCAGCCACACGGGCACUGAGACACGGGCCCGACUCCUACGGGAGGCAGCAGUAAGGAAUAUUGGUCAAUGGACGCAAGUCUGAACCAGCCAUGCCGCGUGAAGGAUUAAGGUCCUCUGGAUUGUAAACUUCUUUUAUCUGGGACGAAAAAAGGCGAUUCUUCGUCACUUGACGGUACCAGAUGAAUAAGCACCGGCUAACUCCGUGCCAGCCGCCGCCGUAAUAC